rnacentral:rRNA from 1 species
AUUGAACGCUGGCGGCGUGCUUAACACAUGCAAGUCGUGCGGUAACAGGCGUAGCAAUACGUGCUGACGAGCGGCGAACGGGUGCGUAAUACAUGGGAAUCUGCCCUUUAGUGGGGAAUAACCCGGCGAAAGCCGGGCUAAUGCCGCAUAAGAUCUUCGGAUGAAAGCGGGGGAGUCGUAAGACCUCGCGCUGAUGGAUGAGCCCACUGCCGGAUUAGUCAGUUGGUGAGGUAACGGCUCACCAAGGCGACGAUCCGUAGCUGGUCUGAGAGGACGGCCAGCCACACUGGGAC